UACGAGGGGUGCAAGCGUUGCUCGGAAUUAUUGGGCGUAAAGGGUAGGUAGGUGGUCUCAUUUGUCUGGGGUGAAAGCCUCGAGCUUAACUCGAGAAGUGCCUCGGAAACGGUGAGACUAGAGUCUUGGAGAGGGUCGUGGAAUUCCCGGUGUAGCGGUGAAAUGCGUAGAGAUCGGGAGGAACACCAGCGGCGAAGGCGGCGACCUGGACAAGUACUGACGCUGAGACGCGAAAGCGUGGGGAGCAAACAGG
rnacentral:rRNA from 1 species